rnacentral:rRNA from 1 species
GAUGAACGCUGGCGGCGUGCUUAAUACAUGCAAGUCGAGCGAAGAGGCGAGGUCCUUGCUGGUGUGACGUUAUGGGCGGCGGAGUGGGUAACAACUGGUUAAUAUACUUCUCACACUGGGAUAACUACCGGAAACCGGAGUUACUACUGGGUAAUAUUUUGGGCCUCAUGGUUCAUUAGUGAAAGAAGGAUUUGGUGUCGGUUAUAGAUGGGUUCGCGCCGCAUUAGCUUGUUGGUAGGGUAACGGCUUACCAAGGCGGCGAUGGGUAGCCGCCCUGAGAGGGUGGUCGGCCACACUGGAACUGCGACACGGCCCCGACUACUACGGGAGGCAGCAGUAGGGAAGCUUCCGCAACGGGCGAAAGACUGACGGUGCAACGCCGCGUGAGUGAUGAUGGUCUUCGGAUCGUAAUACUCUGUUAUUGGGGAAGAACAAAUGUGUAAGUAACUAUGCACGUCUUGACGGUACCUAAUCAGAAAGCCACGGCUAACUACGUG